rnacentral:misc_RNA from 1 species
AAAACAAUUCAGAAGGAAAUAUGCAACACCAACCACACCCCAUACUCCAUAGAUCCCAGAUAGCAAACUCACCAAUUUAGGUGGAUUUGCUACUUGAUUGCUGGUUACUGCAUUUACCCAUGUUUGAUUACACAUUUUUCCUCCAUGAUCUUAAACAUAAAAAUGUCCCAAGCUGGCAGAAGGGCAAAAGGGGCGUUCUCUUAAUUAUGCUAAUCAAAUUGUUGUCUGAUUAUGCUAAUCAAAUUGUUGUCUGAGUUGCAUCUCUGUUUCACUUUUCCACGUAGCAUGAGAUGAUUGUCCCUUCAUCCGCUUGCUUUUUUCUUUAUCUUUGAUCGUCGACCCCUUCUUCUUGGGCUCUUUGCUUGUGUCGUUGGGUGGCCUAUCGCCACAAACCGGACAGACCAUUCCACGUGCACUGGAGUAGGUCUUGGGUAUUCCACAUUGCAAGCACAUCCUCAGUAGUUCUGCAGCAUCUUCUGCAUUGGGCUUGGUUGCGGUUGGCACUCGUUUUCCUCCAUCCUGUGUUGUGCUUGGAGCUGAUGAUGUUGGAGGUUGGUUAGCCUCAAUAUCACUUCUUACUCGCUCAUGAAUUCCAACAAGUUGAGCUUUGGCCUCCACAACAACACCAGCAGGUAAGUCUUUCUUCUCCUUCCUAUUCCUCCAGCGUCCGUGCUUCCCUAGCUGGUUCUCAACGUCUCUUGCACUAGCCUGCUCUUCCACGCAAUUAUUAAGAAACUGUGGAGGACCUGAAAUUUCGGAGAAGGCGUCGAGCGCAGAGGGAAGGCCGGAUGAUCCAUUGGACGGAGCAGAUUGGUCAAAGACUGAUUUGUAGGAAAGCGAACGGCCGCCGGCGACGGCGGAGGAAUCAUCGCCUUCAUCGUCGUCGUCAGAAGAGACUCGGUAAUCGUCCGACAGUGGUUCUUCCUCUUCUUCGGCGGAAGAAUAGCCUUGAAUGAGAGACAAGCU